ACAAGUGCGUUGUUUACAAGUAAAUACUAUAGUUUGUUAUAACAUCGGUUUAAUCUCCUCCAAACUCUAAACUCAAAUAAUUAGUGAUUGAAGUAGGUAUCAACAAAUUGCGUUGAGUCACAAUUAAGAAAAUACAUCUAACGACUAAUCAGCAUGGAAUUCAAACCCAACAAGGGCAAAGAAAACGCAAAAAUCGAUCAAAAGUGUCGGCUCUGUUUGGGCGAUGAGUCUCUUGAGAAUGUUAUGCAUGGAGGAACCCUACAUAAAAGAAUGUUGGAACUUCUCGGAAUAAGGGUAUCUGGCAAAAACGGUUUUGUCUGCGCUGUAUGUCGAACUCGGGUGAACGAGUUUUAUUGUUUUCGGAAACGCUGCCGGGAAAUACAAGAUGCAUUAAUGCGAAACAAAAACAUCAAGCCCCCAAAUCUAGAUGGAAACUGGCCGUGUGACCAAUGCCCCAAGGUGUUCUCGACAAAGGCAAAGAGAAAGGAUCACGUUAGAUAUCACAGACCGAAGGAUUAUAAGUGUGACGUUUGCGGGAAGGCGUUCGCAAGACCGUCUCUGUUAGCUGCUCACGUUAGGAUUCAUGCGGAAGAUUAUCCGAAGAGACAAUCCAGGACUAAGUUCAAGUCGAAGAAGAACGCUGAUGCACUGCCGCAAGUUAAAAUUGAACCACAAGCGGAAAACGAUAUUUUGAGUGAAACGCGGACACAAUCAGAAGCACAAAAUCCUUCUGAUGAAGCGGGGAUCGGGAUCCGUUUAAAUGGAACCAGCGAAUAUCACAUACCGCAAAACAUCGUGAAGUUGGAGCCUGUGGAUGAUCCAAUGGAAACUCAUGGCGUAAGGACUGACAGUGAGUCGUUUAUCUUUGAAGACAUGAUUGACAUACAACAAGUAAAAGUUGAAAUGUAUUCUGAUGAUAAACAAGAGAUACCAGUCAUCGAAACGUCCGCAAAAUCGAGUAAAACUGCUCGUUCGAAACGGUAGGAAAACUCCAACUGAAGAAGGACCAAUAAAGUGCGAUUUAUGUGCAAAGGGUUUUUGGCUCCGAAUUAAACUUCAUAUUCAUAAAAAAAGAAUACAUGGAACUGAACAUAAUUGAAUAUCGCAUCCGCGGAUGCAGCUUUGCAGCUCGGUCAGACGUUAAAAAUCCAUAUGCGAUUACACACCCGGAAUCGACAAGACAAAGAUGACUAUUGUUCAAGGAAAUCCUACAAAAAGAGCUGAAGGGACAGGUGCAAUAGUGAAAAUCGAAAAUUCAUAGACGAAACUCAAUGCACAGCCACGAGGGAAAACGAUCUUUUAGCAAGGCAACGAGAAUGCACAGUUGUUCCAUUUAGGCUAUGCUGCAAAGGUAGAAUUUAUUGAACAAUCAAUCAGAAUGUGUUUAUCUUGAAAUUAAAUGUUAUUUUUUUUGU